rnacentral:rRNA from 1 species
CGGAGAAGACAACAGGGAUUGCCUUAGUAACGGCGAGUGAAGCGGCAACAGCUCAAAUUUGAAAUCUGGCUCUUUUAGAGUCCGAGUUGUAAUUUGCAGAGGGCGCUUUGGCGUUGGCAGCGGUCCAAGUUCCUUGGAACAGGACGUCACAGAGGGUGAGAAUCCCGUACGUGGUCGCUAGCCAUCACCGUGUAAAGCCCCUUCGACGAGUCGAGUUGUUUGGGAAUGCAGCUCUAAAUGGGAGGUAAAUUUCUUCUAAAGCUAAAUACUGGCCAGAGACCGAUAGCGCACAAGUAGAGUGAUCGAAAGAUGAAAAGCACUUUGGAAAGAGAGUCAAAUAGCACGUGAAAUUGUUGAAAGGGAAGCGCUUGCAGCCAGACUUGCCUGUAGUUGCUCAUCCGGGCUUUUGCCCGGUGCACUCUUCUGCGGGCAGGCCAGCAUCAGUUUGGGCGGUUGGAUAAAGGUCUCUGUCAUGUACCUCUCUUCGGGGAGAACUUAUAGGGGAGACGACAUACAACCAGCCUGGACUGAGGUCCGCGCAUUUGCUAGGAUGCUGGCGUAAUGGCUGUAAGCGGCCCGUCUUGAAACACGGACCAAGGAGUCUAACAUCUAUGCGAGUGUUUGGGUGUCAAGCCCGAGCGCGUAAUGAAAGUGAACGGAGGUGGGACCCCUUUUAGGGUGCACCAUCGACCGAUCCUGAUGUCUUCGGAUGGAUUUGAGUAAGAGCAUGGCUGUUGGGACCCGAAAGAUGGUGAACUAUGCUUGAAUAGGGUGAAGCCAGAGGAAACUCUGGUGGAGGCUCGCAGCGGUUCUGACGUGCAAAUCGAUCGU